rnacentral:sRNA from 1 species
GUUGACCCGCCUACAAAUACCAAUCAGCGGAGUCGAUCUAUGGCCUCGCACUGCGCCAACGCCCCCUAUCAUUUAUGGACAGGACCACGGGAAUCACAAAUAAAAGCGGCACCUUAGUUGUACGAGGGGACCAAUUUGUGUUCCUGUUCAUGUCUAGCGAGAGACUGAUGGAAGAAAUUAUGAAGGAAGAGUUGAGGAGAUGUAAGAAGGUUAAAAAGAUUGGGCAGUUGCUGCUAGAAGAGAUAUCUUGAUAUCUUUAAGAUGUUUAGGAUUUUAUAUGUUUCAAAGAUAUAGGCGAAUUCAGAAGAUGAAAGUUGAGAAGUAGUAGUUCGGUAGAGAUUAAUCACAUAGGCAUCAAUGAUUUCGCCCCACAUACAAAAGAUAACGAGCAAAAAGAUAGAUAAUAAUAAUGAACUUGAAAUGAAAUAAAAAGAGUUGUC